rnacentral:rRNA from 1 species
UACGUAGGGGGCAAGCGUUGUCCGGAAUCAUUGGGCGUAAAGAGCUCGUAGGCGGUCUGUUGCGUCCGCUGUGAAAACUCGGGGCUUAACCCCGAGCCUGCAGUGGAUACGGGCAGACUAGAGGUAGGUAGGGGAGAAUGGAAUUCCCGGUGUAGCGGUGAAAUGCGCAGAUAUCGGGAGGAACACCGGUGGCGAAGGCGGUUCUCUGGGCCUUACCUGACGCUGAGGUGCGAAAGCGUGGGGAGCGAACAGG